UCCGCUAUUCUCUAGAGAGUGCAGAAGAGAAGGGUGCUGACCAACAGAACAACUGGAAAUGUUUCAGCUAUAUAAAAAAUACACUUUGUUGCCUGACAGCAUAAUACACAGGCGUUCAAAAGCAUAUAUGAAAAUCAGAGGCCUUCUUAUAUAAGCAUGUUCGGCUGACAGCAGACUGUUCUCUAUUAUGGCCAAGAGAAGUUGCCUAGUGAUAUGUUUCUGGAGCAUUAAAUAGUCAACAGAUAAUUAUCCAGUAGCUGCCACGUACAGCUCAGCAUGGGGGACAGGCCAGACCUACACAUCCAUUUCCAGGAGUCAAGACACGGCAGGAUGGUGCACCCCAAGGCCUGUUGGAGGUGAGCAAGAACUCAGGGGUGCAGAGGCCAAGAGUUCAGUGGUUUGGUGGCUGGAGGAUGGAGAAAACGUUACGGCGACGAUCACACUUAAAUUGUCCGUCAGAGCAGUCAGCCGACACUCUUCAGUUUGGAGCGGCCGGUUUUUAAUUUUAUCUCUCGCACUCUGAACACCCGGAGUCCUGCGUCCAAAACGAACUCAAACAUCAAAGGAAACAUCAAGAAACAUCAGUUACCAAGUAUCAUAACAAAAACCACAACAUUAUCAAUUCAUAAGAUCCCGUUGAUUUGCAGAGUGAGCAGCUUAGAAGGGAGGAAUAUUGUUUCACUCUGUAACCCAGGCAGCAUCCUCCUCUUGUUGUACAGUAAUGAUACCAUCUCCUUCUGGGAGGAGAGGACAGGCAUACCUACUCCCAGUUACGGAAGGUUCCAGUUUCCUAAACUCAGCCUUCCGCUCCUGAAACACAAGCCACUCUGUGUGCAAGUGUCACCUUGCCUCUUCACAUGACCCUUUGGAACUGGAAAGCUAGCACAGAUGUUCUGAUGCUGUAGUGAGCAACAAACCAUUCUUGGUCUCUACGUUUGGACUCCUCGGUGAGCUCCCAGCACCCAUGCAGCUGUGGCCAACUUGUUACCUUGGAAGCCAGGUGACAACUUCGACCCUUGUACUUGUCAGCACGGCUCUGCACUUCGAUAGAUUAAUCCAGUCUUAUAUUCUCAAAACUAAAAUCAUCUGUAGUAUCAUGUUGAGGUGGGAUAAUUCCUGCCCCAAUAUUUAAUGU